rnacentral:snoRNA from 2 species
UGGUGAUGAUGAUACAACUUAGGCUUGUUUCUCAAAACAUUCGCAGUUGCCGCCUAAGAGCUUUCGCCCUGCCAGGCUGGAGAGCUAAUGCUGCUAAUUCCUUCCUUGGAUGUCUGAGCCG